CGUAAUUCAACUUGCCUAUACUACCAUGAGCAGCUUCUAACAAAAAACGGUCGCUUUGUAAUUGAAAUAUUUUACGAGUUUUCGGGUAUAAUAAGUAUUACAGAUAUAUUCAAAUAUGUUCUUUUAAAUUUAAUUAUUCCCAAAAAUCCCCAUUGCACUAAUUUGUUAUGAAAGACAUUCAAUUCUAGGAUUUGUAAGUUAAAUGCGAGCAAGAUUUAACCAAACAAUUUUUGAAAGGUAAUCUUAGGAAUCAAGAAUGUGGCACUUAUUGUUCCAAGAACAAACAAUUUUUCUAAGGAUUAUGAAGUUGCACCUUGAGACCGGAAUGUUUUAUUAUCAUUUCUUACAAAUUACAAAGUUCACAGACUCACGUUUUUUAAUGUGAUAUAAGUGUAUAAUGAAAUCUCUUAGUAUUGUCUACAAGCGCCGAUUUUAUCGGCUGUUUAUGUGCUUCAGUUUAUGAGUUGAGAGGUUUACAGCAGGCAAAAAAAGAUAAUGUAUACUCGAUGCAGUUAAAGAU